rnacentral:rRNA from 1 species
GAGUUUGAUCCUGGCUCAGAUUGAACGCUGGCGGCAUGCCUUACACAUGCAAGUCGAACGGCAGCACGGGAGCUUGCUCCUGGUGGCGAGUGGCGAACGGGUGAGUAAUGCAUCGGAACGUAUCCUGGAGUGGGGGAUAACGUAGCGAAAGUUACGCUAAUACCGCAUAUUCUGUGAGCAGGAAAGCGGGGGACCUUCGGGCCUCGUGCUCUUGGAGCGGCCGAUGUCGGAUUAGCUAGUUGGUGAGGUAAAGGCUCACCAAGGCGACGAUCCGUAGCAGGUCUGAGAGGAUGAUCUGCCACACUGGAACUGAGACACGGUCCAGACUCCUACGGGAGGCAGCAGUGGGAAUUUUGGACAAUGGGGGCAACCCUGAUCCAGCCAUGCCGCGUGAGUGAAGAAGGCC